GACGAACCGUGCGAACGUUAUUCGGAAUCACUGGGCUUAAAGGGCGCGUAGGCGGAUUUGCAAGUCUGUGGUGAAAUCCUCCAGCUUAACUGGAGAAGUGCCAUGGAUACUGCGAGUCUUGAGGAAGGUAGGGGCAUCUGGAACUGCCGGUGGAGCGGUGAAAUGCGUUGAUAUCGGCAGGAACUCCGGUGGCGAAGGCGAGAUGCUGGAUCUUUUCUGACGCUGAGGCGCGAAAGCCAGGGGAGCAAACGGG
rnacentral:rRNA from 1 species